rnacentral:rRNA from 1 species
AUUGAACGCUGGCGGCAUGCCUUACACAUGCAAGUCGAACGGUAACGGGCCUUCGGGUGCCGACGAGUGGCGAACGGGUGAGUAAUGUAUCGGAACGUACCUUUCAGUGGGGGAUAACGUAGCGAAAGUUACGCUAAUACCGCAUAUUCUGUGAGCAGGAAAGCAGGGGAUCGCAAGACCUUGCGCUGAUUGAGCGGCCGAUAUCAGAUUAGCUAGUUGGUGAGGUAAAGGCUCACCAAGGCGACGAUCUGUAGCGGGUCUGAGAGGAUGAUCCGCCACACUGGAACUGAGACACGGUCCAGACUCCUACGGGAGGCAGCAGUGGGGAAUUUUGGACAAUGGGGGCAACCCUGAUCCAGCCAUGCCGCGUGAGUGAAGAAGGCCUUCGGGCUGUAAAGCUCUUUCGGCCGGGAAGAAAUCGUAUGGGUUAAUACCCUGUGCGGAUGACGGUACCGGCACAAGAAGCACCGGCUAACUACGUGCCAGCAGCCGCAGUAA